rnacentral:rRNA from 1 species
GGGAAUUCGAUUAGUUUGAUCUUGGCUCAGGAUGAACGCUAGCGGCAGGCCUAAUACAUGCAAGUCGAGGGGCAGCACGGGAUUUCGGUCCUGGUGGCGACCGGCGGACGGGUGCGUAACGCGUAUGCAACCUACCUGUCACAGGGGGAUAGGCUGUGGAAACACGGAUUAAUACCCCAUGGUACUAUGAGUAUGAUGUACAUAUAGUUAAAGCCAGCAAUGGUGGUGACAGCUGGGCAUGCGUCUGAUUAGCUAGUUGGUGAGGUAACGGCUCACCAAGGCGACGAUCAGUAGGGGUUCUGAGAGGAUGAUCCCCCACACUGGAACUGAGACACGGUCCAGACUCCUACGGGAGGCAGCAGUAGGGAAUAUUGGUCAAUGGGCGAGAGCCUGAACCAGCCAUGCCGCGUGCAGGAAGACGGCCUUCUGGGUUGUAAACCCCUUUCAGGAGGGACGAAGCGAAAGUGACGGUACCUUCAGAAGAAGCCCCGGCCAACUACGUGCCAGCAGCCGCGGUAAUACGUAGGGGGCGAGCGUUGUCCGGAUUCAUUGGGCGUGAAGAGCUCGUAGGCGGCUCAGCAAGUCGGCCGUGAAAGCCCAGGGCUCAACCCUGGGAUGCCGGUCGAAACUGCUGUGGCUAGGGUCCGGUAGAGGAGAGUGGAAUUCCCGGUGUAGCGGUGAAAUGCGCAGAUAUCGGGAGGAACACCAGUAGCGAAGGCGGCUCUCUGGGCCGGUACCGACGCUGAGGAGCGAAAGCUAGGGGAGCAAACAGGAUUAGAUACCCUGGUAGUCCUAGCCGUAAAC